UAUAUCAUGGAAUUGGCCUUCUAUUGGUCCCUUAUGUUUUCUCAGUUUACAGACAUUAAAAGAAAGGACUUCCUGAUUAUGUUUGUGCAUCACUUGGUCACCAUUGGGCUUAUCUCCUUCUCCUACAUCAACAAUAUGGUUCGAGUGGGAACUCUGAUCAUGUGUCUACAUGAUGUCUCAGACUUCUUGCUGGAGGCAGCCAAACUGGCCAAUUAUGCCAAGUAUCAGCGGCUCUGUGACACCCUUUUUGUGAUCUUCAGUGCUGUUUUUAUGGUUACACGACUAGGAAUCUAUCCAUUCUGGUAAGUGGUAGGGCUGUAGAGUUGUGGUAGGUAUGAGCCUAAUGAUACCUUUUUGCCAAUUCUCAUUUUGCCCAUUCAGUUUUUCUGUUCUAUUCUAUUCUACUUUUGCCAAUAGAACACAAGAACCCUAUUGCCCUGCUUUUACCUUGGCCUGUGCUGACCUUUUAUGGACUCUCAUAGGACCUCUGCUGCCUCACACCGUAUUUCUAGCAAGGUUGGAUCCAGACUCAGAGUACCCGACUUGGUUGGCUUCUCAGGACUGACUCAUCUCUUGAGGAACAGUCCUCAUUUUA
rnacentral:sRNA from 1 species